UGGAAAGUGCACUCAAACCUUCCCAGCUACUGCAACACACAUGACUUAGGUAACAUCAAUUUAAGCAUAUGUUAAGUCCCUGUCCCCUCCUGACAUUUAACAAAUGUGCAAAUAAAUAGUUCUUUCACAGGUAUACCUACACUGAAGUCUAGGAGAAGCAUUUUUGACUCUAUUGCAAUGUGGGUUAUUUCACUGUUUCAGUUAUGAACCCAACACAUUUAUACUGAGCCGAUACAGUAACAUUCUUUAGGAAUGCUGUGAGUGUGAGUGCUUGAGUUCCUACAGAAAGAUGCUUAUAGAUACUGCUUUAGCAGGACCUCAUGAAAAAACCCGUACUCCAUUUGGAUAAACCUGCUUUUGUUUCAGGCAGUGUCAAACAACUCACGUGGCAGACAUGGGAGAGCAAACAACUGCUCAGCUGCUUGAGCAGUGAUAGCAGAUGUCGAUGAAAUGUAUUUGUAGUAUGUCAGGUGAACCAGUACUGAGGUUACAAUAAUGCAAGGAAAGAGUGUUUGGAACAUGUAGCAACAAAAGUGGCCAAAGUCUUGCAAGGCAUUACCGCCGAUGACUACAAGGCCAAAUUCUCAACUUUGUGGUCUCACUAUGGCGCUGAACUGAAGAAAAUACAUCAGAACGAGAGCAUUGGCGCAUCCAGUGCCGUAUACAGGCCAAGAGUCUGGUAGUUUGAUGUUUUACAUUUCCUGAAAGACUUCAUUACACCACGCGAAAGCCGGUGUAACAUUCCGAACAGUGUUGUGCCUCACAACUCUGGUACAGAAAUCCCGAGGACUAGGAAGACGCCUGACAACUCAGUGAUAGAAAUCAUAAUUUUUUAUGAUGAGAGUAGUAAUAUCGAUAGCCCACCAUGCACAUCAAAUAGUGAACGCCCAGAUAUCACAAUUGAUAAUAUGGAUGUGGUGGUAGUUAACAACAGUGCUGAAUUUGAGGUGCCUAGUACUCCAGUGGUUUCUGGUGCAUAUUCCACUACACCAAAAGUUCGGAAGAUGAGAAAGAGUGAUAGUAAUCCCUUACUAAAUACAGUACUGGAGAACUUAAACUCAAAAUUAACCCAAAAGGCAUUAGACCCAUCUCCACAUGAUGCUUUGGGACACUUCAUUGUUGAAGAGUUGUCCAGAAUAAGAAAUCCAAUGACUGUGAGAGACACAAAACAUAAGAUACUGAAAUUUAUCAUGGAAGCUCAAAUAAUGGAUGAUAAUUGUUGAAUUGUAUGCAUUUAGUGUUUAUUACUUUGAAAAUACAUUACCAUUCAAAAA